CGGAGGGUGCAAGCGUUGUCCGGAUUUAUUGGGUUUAAAGGGUGCGUAGGCGGCCCUGUAAGUCAGCGGUGAAAUCCCAGGGCUCAACCCUGGAACUGCCGUUGAUACUGCAGGGCUUGAGUUCGGUUAAGGCGGGCGGAACUGGUGGUGUAGCGGUGAAAUGCAUAGAUACCACCAAGAACCCCGAUUGCGUAGGCAGCUCGCUGAGCCGAAACUGACGCUGAGGCACGAAAGCGUGGGGAGCGAACAGGAUU
rnacentral:rRNA from 1 species